UGCCCUUCACGGCUAGGUCCGGUUACAGAGAACAACUGUCCAGGCCAGGCUGGCCCUGAGACUCUCCAGGGAUCCCGCAGCUUCCGGGGGCCCUCCCCCCUCACUACUGGCCCGCCGGCCCUCCUGAGGGAGCGGAACUGUGGAGGCAAAUGCCCUGAAGCCCCAGACCUUGCCUCACACCCACCUCCCGAGUGAGUGUGCAGGGGGAGGAGGGUCCAUCUUGACAUGACCCUAAGGUGUGGCUCCCCGCGGGGCUCCCCAGCCUGGCCUCUGUCCUCCCUCCCUGACUCUUCUCUAGGGGUUGUGGGCUCUGGGACAGAUGGUCAGAGGACAUGCUUCCAUCAUCCUCAGAGAAAUCUCUGGUGUCUAACCCGGCUGAGGGCUGCAGUUUCCUUUUCUGCACCUUCCUCAUCUAGAUCCUUCCUCUUCUCUGUGGGAAUACUUUUGACCACGUCUUAUUCUACGAGAGAUGGGGAUGGACUCACUCAGGGUUAGCAAGCUUUUUCUGUAAAGGAACAGACAGUAAAUAUUUUAGUCUUUGCAGGGCCACAUCCAUAGAUGACAUCUUCCUUUCUUUUUCCACCUUGCCAUGCCCCCCGCCCCCCACAACUAUUUAAAAAUGUUAGGAAAAAAAAUCCUUGUUCAAAGGCUGUAUAAAGACAGGCCGCAGCCAGAUUUGGUCAUAGUUGGUUGACCCUUGGACUAGACGAUCUCUCUUACCUGCUGAAAAUGUCUUAAAAAUUUGUUCUGGGCCUAGACAGACCGAGCUGUGCUGACCUCUAACUCCUGUGUGCGUCAUCCUGGGAGUGUUGGCAAAGGGUGCCAGAAUCCAAUAAGUUUGGGAAACAGAGCCCUUCCCAUACGACUUCACAGAGCCUUUACUGUGUCAAGGGGAACCGACUCUCUCCCAGACUGCAGGAGUUUGCAGUGUGUUUGUCUGUAGAGCUGGCUUUGUGUUCUGCGAAAUACCCUUGGAGAAGCAUUUUCUAGAUGAAUCUUCUCCUAGCUUUGCCUUUGACUUCGAAGAAUCUAAUUUUCAUACGGAGUUCGGACCCUGUCCCCAGCAGCACUUAGCACGGUCGCUAGGAGGACACACCUAUUCACUGAGCAGCCUCCUCCCGCCGGGCGGAAGGGGCAGCAGGCUCUCCAGGCGAAAGAGGUCUGGACCUUGUGUGUGGAGGCAGGGAGGUGCCCAAGAGCCUGGAUGGGGCAGCAUGUGGGGAGUGUUGGCCCAGGCCCCAGGUGAUUUGAAUCAGGGUGUUUUCUAUUCCCCACCCAGAAGAGUUGGAGAACUCAUUCAUUAUCCCACUUGGAACACUGAGAGGUCCCCUCCAAGCCCAGCACCCCCAUGCGGGCACAUGCAGUCCGACCAGAGUCAGUGUUGCAAGAUAACUGACACUUUGAAUCACUGCGAACGCUCUACCUUUAUUGAGGAAUUGGACCAUCUUUGAAGCCACUGCUUUGCUUAUUGUGAUAAUGCGUGGUUAAGUAAAUCGAUAGGGCAGGCUUUCCCCACAUUGCCAAGAGGUGGAAACAGGAUCAGAGGCAUUUGUGGACUUUCCUCAGGCACUGAGUAAGUCCUUGGCUGGAACAGGGACCAAAAGCCCCUUUGCUGGUAUUGUGGCAGGAACCAGGGCUAAUGCCCAUUAAGGCCUCAUCUGCGAGGGAGGUCGGCUGAUGGACCAGAUGUGCCUCCCAGAUGUUCCUCCUAGGCUCAGCCUGUGUGGCAUGAGGGCCUAACCAAGGGGAUUUUUAAUCCCGGGGAAAAUGGUUGUCAUCCAGGGCUGGCUCAAAAACUGGCAAAGUCUGCUGUGAGUGAAACCAAGAAGUAGGGCCAAAAAGCAAAGAGAGGUUUCCAUGAGAUCCUGGGCAGCGGCCGUGGGGCGAGGUGGGGCUGCGGCCCGGAGUGAGGGCGGGCAGGGCCUGUCCACUCGUGUGGAGGCUGCCAGCAUGCUGGUCUGGGGCGUCCUUGCUGUGCUGUGGCUGACUGCAGUUCCUUCUCCUCUCUGGGUCUGUUUUCUCCUCCAUCGGCCUCCCUGCUCCAGAACUGGGAGGGAGAUAGAUCCAAGUACGUGAGGAGAAUAUCUGGCCAACAGUCAAAUUCAUGGCGGAGGCCAUGACUGUUACUGAGGGAGGUGAGUUUAGGAGGUGGCUGUCGGAAUGUCUGGAGGGCCCAGAGGAAACCCUGGAGCCCUGGGUGUGUUUAAACGUGUCUAUCAUUCUAGGCUCAGAGGAGUCUGCUCCUGCAGAACCUCAGUGGAGCGGAGGGGUUUUCUGCGGUUGAGGCAGGGAGGGCCCUGUAGCCCCAUCCCCUUCUGCCUCUCCAUCACCUCUCUCAGUGGUUUCUAAGGCAAGAUGCAGGAUCCUGGGGCUUCCAUGGAACACAGUUUAGAAAUCCCUGGGGAAGCCUAAUUAAUUCCACAAGUUAUCAGGCAAACUGGGGAACCUGUGCCUCAUAUGGGCUCUUGGGUGGCUCCAACUGCUCCCUCAGGAGUCUGGCCAAGAGCAGGGGGUUGGGAGGCCUGUUCAUUUGCCAAGCCAGGCCUGCUGCUCCACAGCCCAGGGGUCGGCCCUGCUGCUAGAAGGACGGAGGUGGGAGCUCCUACCAGGGCAGGUGCCACCAGUGACUGAGGAAUCCAUUUCCCUUGGGGGCCAGAGGGGUGAAGGGUUGACAGUGCAAAGAAGCAGGAGCUAAGCCAAGAAGAGCAGCCACUUCUCUGGGUCCUCUGACUUUCCCCACGUGGGUCCCAAUAAGCCAGACUUUGAAGCAGUACCCCACCACCACUCUGCAGAAUGCCAGACCCUUUGGAUCUUCACUCUAGGAGCCCCCCUCACUUUUUUUCCUUCCUUCCUUAGAGCAAGUUUGGCAAACAUUGCAGCCUGUAAGCCCUGUGGGAGACUCACGAUGCCCAAGAGCAUAGCCAGGGUCCGGAGAAGGCUUGCAUGAAAGAAACCAGUUCUUUGCAUAGCCAUGUCUCACUUUUCUUCGAGCAGCACCUGAUGAUUAUCCCCGGGGCUUGGAUUUUACGUCGAAUUCUCCUUAUGCUGAAGUCAAGUCUGUUCAUUCAUAGCAUCCUCCAUCACUGGGGCUCUUUGCUGUUUGUUGGGUCUCUCCCUUAAUAGGGUUUGAUCUCCACAAGAGCAGGGACUUUGUUUAACUGAGAACAGUGCUUGCACCCAGUGGACAGUCAAUAUUUGUUGAACAGAAGCAUCAGUGAGUGGCCUGGGUGCCAGAGAAGGCAGCAGUGUGGACCGUAUCUUUACCUGUGCCGCCCCCCCUGCUAGGAACGCCUCCCCUGUCCUCUGCUCCCCUAUUCCACGCCUAUCGCUUCUCUCCAGUCUCUGACUCACCCCGUCUAAGGAGUCUUCUUGGCUACCCACCACCUGCCACCGUCCAUCCUGGGCCACACUCCCUUGGACACCUGUUCCUACUUCAUCAGACCUUGCUUACUUGGCUUUCUUCUCUGGGUAAAUUAAGGAGAGCAGGUUCAAUUCAGGGAGCAGCCUGAAGGCUGAACUGUGAUGACCGAUUGGACCCAUCUGGGAUGGAUGCUGAAGAUAGAGACAAUCACAGGCCCUGAGCUCAGGGGCCCCCUGUCCAGUGGGGGUCAUCUCCCACUGGGUCCCCAGAGCCAACUGUUCAAUUUUCAGGGUUUUUUCAAGCCAGUUGCCAAACAUGGCCCUUUGCUAAAUCAGGGUUGAACUGCAACUGUAGGCUUGCUACAGAUACAAGGGUUUGGCAACAAUCCAGAAAAGCAUUCUCUGGGAAUCAAUUGGCUAUACAGAAUUGACAAUAAAGAGUUUUAUAUAUUUUAUUAUUAUUUGUUA
rnacentral:lncRNA from 1 species